rnacentral:rRNA from 1 species
GAUCAUGGCUCAGGACGAACGCUGGCGGCGUGCUUAACACAUGCAAGUCGAACGGAAAGGCCCUGCUUUUGUGGGGUGCUCGAGUGGCGAACGGGUGAGUAACACGUGAGUAACCUGCCCUUGACUUUGGGAUAACUUCAGGAAACUGGGGCUAAUACCGGAUAGGAGCUCCUGCUGCAUGGUGAGGGUUGGAAAGUUUCGGCGGUGGAGUGACGUCGCGGCGUUAUUCAGCUUGUUUGGUUGGGGUAGGGUGGUCG